CGGACUGUGUACAUAGGGCGUUUGUCUCAUUUCUCUAUCCUCCAUGCUUAGCAUAGGACUGGGCCACAUUUUAGGUGCUCAAUAAAUGUUUGCUGAUUGAAUGCGAAGGCUUCGUGGAUUGACCUGGGGCUUCGACACUGGAGAGGCUACUGACAGGUGAAGAUGUGGUGGCGGGUGGAGGGGGCCACCCCCUCAAGAGGACCAGUGACAAGGCCAUCUUAGAAGGGUCAUCCUGGCUGCUGUGUGGGGAAUGCGGAUUCUGGAGUUUCCACUGUGAGACUCCUCUUUUCCUCCAGUGUUGGAUAUUGGGUGCGCCUGGCCUGAGUACAUAGAUCCCUCAGUCCAGAGGCAGCAAGACAGAAGUCACAUCUAGUUUGAGUCUUACCUCCGGGGGAAUGGUCAUCUCCUUGAUGUGGAUGGGACUCCAGGAUCUGGGGUGGCCAUUUUAUGACCGUGAGUAUGAAACCAACAUGAGGACAGCGGGGCAGACCUGGAAUGGACCUGAGAGAUGGAAUAUCCGUGAGGACAUGGCCAAGCCAUUCAAUUAAUCUACCACUGAGUGGCGGGGUACUUAUUUUUUUAAGCCAAGUGAAUUAGGGUCUUCUGUUUGGAUACAGUCCAUAAGUCCCCCUGGUAACCAAACUGAACGGUGCCAUUUCCUUCCUCCACAGCAGACAGCACCACUAAACAUUCCCUCCACCCUUAAACCUUCUCUCUGGAAUCCCAUGCUCACCUGGUCCUCCUCAUACCCCCACAGGCCACUGCUUCUCAGCCUCCUUUCUUGUCUCCUCCUCCUCUGCCUACUUUUAAAUCUACCUUUGUUUUCUAGGCUCUCAUCCAGAACCAUGACGUGUAUGCUGUGUGUCGAUGCUACCAAAAUAUGUCUCCAGCCCAGACCUCUCUUCGGAGCCCCAGUCUCAUAUACAACAGCCUGUUGACCUUCUCACAUCCAUACAUGACCACUGGAAAAACCAUAGCCUUGACCAUAGACGGACCUUUGUUGGCAAAAGGAUGAGAUGGCUG